GGGAAAAGUGUGAAAAUUCAAGGAAACAAGUGAAAAAAGGUGGUGAAUCCUCUGCUAAGGGCAAAGAAAUUGUACCCGAGGAUUGGUAGUCAGUGUACUCUAGAAAUUCGACUCCUGAAAUACUUGCUACAGUGGGCGGGUUCUGUGGACCAG